rnacentral:rRNA from 1 species
AUUGAACGCUGGCGGCAUGCCUAACACAUGCAAGUCGAACGGCAGCACGGCAGUAGCAAUACUGUGGGUGGCGAGUGGCGGACGGGUGAGGAAUACGUCGGAAUCUGCCCAGUCGUGGGGGAUAACUAGCCGAAAGGUUAGCUAAUACCGCAUACGACCGAGAGGUGAAAGCGGGGGACCGCAAGGCCUCGCGCGAUUGGAUGAGCCGACGUCGGAUUAGCUAGUUGGUGGGGUAAAGGCCCACCAAGGCGACGAUCCGUAGCUGGUCUGAGAGGAUGAUCAGCCACACUGGAACUGAGACACGGUCCAGACUCCUACGGGGGGCAGCAGUGGGGAAUAUUGGACAAUGGGCGCAAGCCUGAUCCAGCAAUGCCGCGUGUGUGAAGAAGGCCU